CCUACGGGAGGCAGCAGUGGGGAAUAUUGCACAAUGGGCGCAAGCCUGAUGCAGCCAUGCCGCGUGUAUGAAGAAGGCCUUCGGGUUGUAAAGUACUUUCAGCAGUGAGGAAGGGGGUAUCGUUAAUAGCGGUACUCUUUGACGUUAGCUGCAGAAGAAGCACCGGCUAACUCCGUGCCAGCAGCCGCGGUAAU
rnacentral:rRNA from 1 species